rnacentral:rRNA from 1 species
UGGGGAAUUUUGGACAAUGGGCGAAAGCCUGAUCCAGCAAUGCCGCGUGUGUGAAGAAGGCCUUCGGGUUGUAAAGCACUUUUGUCCGGAAAGAAAUCCUUGGCUCUAAUACAGUCGGGGGAUGACGGUACCGGAAGAAUAAGCACCGGCUAACUACGUGCCAGCAGCCGCGGUAAUACGUAGGGUGCAAGCGUUAAUCGGAAUUACUGGGCGUAAAGCGUGCGCAGGCGGUUUGCUAAGACCGAUGUGAAAUCCCCGGGCUCAACCUGGGAACUGCAUUGGUGACUGGCAGGCUAGAGUAUGGCAGAGGGGGGUAGAAUUCCACGUGUAGCAGUGAAAUGCGUAGAGAUGUGGAGGAAUACCGAUGGCGAAGGCAGCCCCCUGGGCCAAUACUGACGCUCAUGCACGAAAGCGUGGGGAGCAAAACAGGAUUAGAUACCCUGGUAGUCCACGCCCUAAAACGAUGUCAACUAGUUGUUGGGGAUUCAUUUCCUUAGUAACGUAGCUAACGCGUGAAGUUGACCGCCUGGGGGAGUACGGUCGCAAGAUUAAAAACUCAAAUGAAUUGACGGGGUCAUAGCUGUUUCCU